AUGAUGCUAAAUACACGUCGGAUUUUUUCCCCCUAAAAGGUCAUUACACAAGCAAUGUGAUCUGAACUACAGCAAAACAAAGCACUAUUCAGAACUCUCUGACAAAAAUGGGAGACUCAUUUGCUACAUUUCACUUUUUAAUCAUGUUUCUAUUCACUAAUAUUAUACUGGAAUUAUUUUACAUAAUAAAAACCAUAACAAAACUAAUAUCAUUAUUAAUACAAGGAAGUAAAAAUGUUCGUGGUACAAUGGCAGUCAGGUUACAAAAAACAAAUGAGUUUACAUGUCUUAAUUUAUUCCAAAUUAUUUUUAAAAAUACCCUACAAAGUGCUUUUGAUUUGGUUUGAGUACUUAUUCACACAAUUUUGGGAAAUGGCAUAUAUAUCACUUCAAAAUCUCCCAGUGACCUGUCACGAUGACACCUUCAGAAUAUUUCAUUAAAAAAGAUACCACAGAAGAACUGAUAACAACCUAUGUAUUUUCCUUCUCUAAGUGGCAAAGCAGGCGUAAGAGUUUUAAGUUCUCUUUUUCUCUCAAUACUACUACAGAGAUUGUCUCAGAAUUUGAAGCCCGCCCUUAGAAGAAAAUUAUUCUACAGCAAAAAAAUGAAAUGGCAAUCUGUCAUUUAAAUACAGGGUUAGGGAUCCCAAAUGAUGGAAGGAAGAAAACUAGAGUAGCUGACAACUGGACUGCAGACAAAAAAAAAAAAACCUCAAUGGUGAGGAAAACAUGGUGUGAAUUGCUUGGGACCAGUAUUAUCUAAACAAUUUGUUACUUAGGGAACGCCAGAGGAAAGUCAGUCCAUGUGGGAAUAAACAACAUGUGACGAACUAAAGCCAGAAUGAAGCUUUUGAACACUACAAACAGCUGUUUCUUCGAACAGUGAGAACAUACAAGAGGAAGAGCAACUCCUGAUUUGGACCUAAAUAACGCACAGGCAGCCAGUCACUCUUACGAGAGAUGCAGCACUGACAGUAAUGGCAAUAUAUUCAAAGAUCUUGCAAAUCUCCCUGAAGUUGCCACAGCAAACAGUAAACUAAAAAUGGCUUCCAGAAGAUGGAAUAGAUCUCUGUGUGUGAGUGUGUGUGUGUGUGUG